AACGCGAAGAACCUUACCAAGGCUUGACAUAUAGCGAAGAGUGGCAGAGAUGUCAUGUCCGCAAGGGCGCUAUACAGGUGGUGCAUGGUUGUCGUCAGCUCGUGUCGUGAGAUGUUGGGUUAAGUCCCGCAACGAGCGCAACCCUCGUUCUGUGUUACCGGCAUUCAGUUGGGGACUCACAGGAGACUGCCGGGGUCAACUCGGAGGAAGGUGGGGAUGACGUCAAAUCAUCAUGCCCCUUAUGUCUUGGGCUGCACGCAUGCUACAAUGGCCGGUACAAAGUGCUGCGAGAUCGUAAGAUUGAGCGAAUCACAUAAAGCCGGUCUCAGUUCGGAUUGAGGUCUGCAACUCGACCUCAUGAAGUCGGAGUUGCUAGUAAUCGUAGAUCAGCAACGCUACGGUGAAUACGUUCCCGGGUCUUGUACACACCG
rnacentral:rRNA from 1 species